GGGGGGAGACGAACCGGGUCGUGGCUAAUAUCCACGGUCCUUGACGGUAUCCCUUUAGCAAGCAUCGGCUAACUCUGUGCCAGCAGCCGCGGUAAGACAGAGGAUGCAAACGUUGCUCGGAAUUACUGGGCGUAAAGCGCGCGCAGGUGGUCCGGUAAGUCGGGUGUGAAAUCCCGGGGCUCAACCUCGGAAGUGCACUCGAUACUGCUAGACUUGAGUACUGGAGAGGAGAGCGGAAUUCCCGGUGUAGAGGUGAAAUUCGUAGAUAUCGGGAGGAACACCAGUGGCGAAGGCGGCUCUCUGGACAGAUACUGACACUGAGGCGCGAAAGCGUGGGAAGCAAACAGGAUUAGAUACCCUGGUAGUCCACGCUGUAAACGAUGACGACUGGGUGUUUCGGGUAUUGACCCCCGAGGUGCCGAAGCCAACGCGUUAAGUCGUCCGCCUGGGAAGUACGGCCGCAAGGCUAAAACUCAAAGGAAUUGACGGGGGC
rnacentral:rRNA from 1 species